rnacentral:rRNA from 1 species
GGCGACGAUCUGUAGCGGGUCUGAGAGGAUGAUCCGCCACACUGGAACUGAGACACGGUCCAGACUCCUACGGGAGGCAGCAGUGGGGAAUUUUGGACAAUGGGGGCAACCCUGAUCCAGCCAUGCCGCGUGAGUGAAGAAGGCCUUCGGGUUGUAAAGCUCUUUCGGCCGGGAAAAAAUCGCAUAGGCUAAUACCCUGUGUGGAUGAUGGUACCGGAAUAAGAAGCACCGGCUAACUACGUGCCAGCAGCCGCGGUAAUACGUAGGGUGCGAGCGUUAAUCGGAAUUACUGGGCGUAAAGCGUGCGCAGGCGGUUUGAUAAGACAGGCGUGAAAUCCCCGGGCUCAACCUGGGAACUGCGUUUGUGACUGUCUCACUAGAGUACGGCAGAGGGGGGUGGAAUUCCACGUGUAGCAGUGAAAUGCGUAGAGAUGUGGAGGAACACCAAUGGCGAAGGCAGCCCCCUGGGUCGAUACUGACGCUCAUGCACGAAAGCGUGGGUAGCAAACAGGAUUAGAUACCCUGGUAGUCCACGCCCUAAACGAUGUCAACUAGGUGUUGGGAGGGUAAAACCUUUUAGUACCGUAGCUAACGCGAGAAGUUGACCGCCUGGGGAGUACGGCCGCAAGGUUAAAACCCAAAGGAAUUGACGGGGACCCGCACAAGCGGUGGAUGAUGUGGAUUAAUUCGAUGCAACGCGAAAAACCUUACCUACCCUUGACAUGUUCAGGAGUCCGAAGAGAUUUGGAUGUGCUCGAAAGAGAACUGGAACACAGGUGCUGCAUGGCUGUCGUCAGCUCGUGUCGUGAGAUGUUGGGUUAAGUCCCGCAACGAGCGCAACCCUUGUCGUUAAUUGCCAUCAUUUAGUUGGGCACUUUAACGAGACUGCCGGUGACAAACCGGAGGAAGGUGGGGAUGACGUCAAGUCCUCAUGGCCCUUAUGGGUAGGGCUUCACACGUCAUACAAUGGUCGGUACAAAGGGUUGCCAACCCGCGAGGGGGAGCUAAUCCCAUAAAGCCGAUCGUAGUCCGGAUCGCAGGCUGCAACUCGCCUGCGUGAAGUCGGAAUCGCUAGUAAUCGUGGAUCAGCAUGUCACGGUGAAUACGUUCCCGGGUCUUGUACACACCGCCCGUCACACCAUGGGAGCGGGUUCCGCCAGAAGUAGGUAGCCUAACCGCAAGGAGGGCGCUUACCACGGCGGGGUUCGUGACUGGGGUUAAGUCGAAACAAGGUA